UACGUAGGUGGCAAGCGUUGUUCGGAAUCAUUGGGCGUAAAGGGCGCGUAGGCGGCCGAUCAAGUCGGGUGUGAAAUCCCUCGGCUCAACCGAGGAACUGCACUCGAUACUGAUCGGCUCGAGUCCGGGAGGGGAUGGUGGAAUUCCCAGUGUAGCGGUGAAAUGCGUAGAUAUUGGGAAGAACACCGGUGGCGAAGGCGGCCAUCUGGACCGGAACUGACGCUGAGGCGCGAAAGCCAGGGGAGCGAAUGGG
rnacentral:rRNA from 1 species